rnacentral:misc_RNA from 1 species
CUCGGAUAGCAAGCUUGAAGGCUUGGCGCUUUUCAUCUCUCUUGCAUCCCCCAGCCUCCUUACAGGGCACCCUUUCCAGCCUCCUUCUCUGAGGCUCUCGAAGCGACGCGUGAGCGACGUUGAAGUUUCUCAACACCCACCUUAACGUACCGAGUCAGAGAGAGGUAUCAUGGCGUCUUUUCACCCUCGCGAUGCUUUCAUCCUCCACCAGGAGCACAUCCAACGCAUGAACGAGGGCGAUGAGGUGGACACCUCGGAGGAGCAGAAGGUUCAAAUUGAUCUGCAGCGUAUCACUGAUAACGAGUCCACUGCUGUGGUAACUUUCUCUCACGAGGAUCACACCCUAGGAAACCCCCUGCGGCACGUUCUUAUGCAGAACGCCGCCGUGACGAGCGCCGGCUACGCGAUUCCCCAUCCUCUGGAACCGAAGAUGCUCUUGCAUGUGCAGGCUUCCGACUACGCUGUAGAGGCCGUAGCCAAGGGUCUGGAGCGUCUUGCGGAAAUCUGUGACGACACAAUUAGUAGCUUCGACAAUUGUAUGGUAGAGCAGCAUCGCAUGGCAGCUGCUACGCAACCAGAGUAGAGCCCAUGUCGUGUUGUGGCAAACAACAGCUUUAGCUUUGGGUGAAGGACAAAGGCUACCAGGUGCAAGUGGUCUGCCUCCUUUGCUCUCCCCCGCUGUUGCCUCCCCCAAGAGCCAUUUGAAGCAGCAGGUGAUGCCGUUUGGGUGUUUCUUCCCGCCUAAUUCACCCCCACAGUCCGCUUAAGAUAGUACACAGUAAUCGACCUGUUUUCGUAUGUCUCGCCUGUCAAC